UGUGUAGGCGGUUCUUUAAGUUUGGUGUGAAAUCUCCCGGCUCAACCGGGAGGGUGCGCCGAAUACUGAGGGACUCGAGUGCGGGAGAGGAAAGUGGAAUUCCUGGUAUAGCGGUGAAAUGCGUAGAUAUCAGGAGGAACACCGGUGGUGUAGACGGCUUUCUGGACCGUAACUGACGCUGAGACACGAAAGCGUGGGUAGCAAACAGGAUUAGAUACCCUGGUAGUCCACGCCCUAAACGAUGCAUAUUUGGUGUGGGUCAUUCAGUUGAUCCGUGCCGGAGCUAACGCGUUAAAUAUGCCGCCUGGGGAGUACAGUCGCAAGGCUGAA
rnacentral:rRNA from 1 species